rnacentral:rRNA from 1 species
UUAGGCAUGCAAGUCGUGCGAGNAAGGGUUUGGUGCUUGCAUUAAACCUGGAAAGCGGCGUAAGGGAGAGUAACGCGUAGGGUACUUACCCCCAGGUCUGGGAUAGCGGCGGGAAACUGCCGGUAAUACCGGAUAAUGUCUCCGGACCAAAGGUGUGAUUCCGCCUGGGGAUGGUCCUGCGUCCUAUUAGCUUGUUGGUGGGGUAACGGCUCACCAAGGCCAAGAUGGGUAGCGGGCGUGAGAGCGUGGCCCGUCUCACUGGGACUGAGACACUGCCCAGACACCUACGGGUGGCUGCAGUCGAGAAUCUUCCGCAAUGGGCGCAAGCCUGACGGAGCGACGCCGCGUGCGGGAUGAAGGCCUUCGGGUUGUAAACCGCUGUCAGUGGGGUGGAAAUGCAUGAGGGUUCUCUCUCAUGUUUGACCUAACCGCAGAGGAAGUCCGGGCUAAGUACGUGCCAGCAGCCGCGGUAACACGUACCGGACGAACGUUAUUCGGAAUCACUGGGCUUAAAGAGUGCGUAGGCGGCCUGGUAGGUGGGGUGUGAAAGCCCACGGCUCAACCGUGGAAUUGCGCUCCAAACCAUUAGGCUUGAGGGAGACAGGGGUGAGCGGAACUGAUGGUGGAGCGGUGAAAUGCGUUGAUAUCAUCAGGAACACCGGUGGCGAAGGCGGCUCACUGGGUCUCUUCUGACGCUGAGGCACGAAAGCUAGGGGAGCGAACGGGAUUAGAUACCCGGUAGUCCUAGCUGUAAACGAUGAGCACUAGAUCGAGGG